rnacentral:ncRNA from 1 species
CAUCGUGAGGUGGAAUCUGAAGGAAGCCUACGGUAAAGUCUCGGUCUGAGGGACACGAACUACAUAUGAGGCUAACUAGAAAUGGACGAGUUUGUAUAACAAAACAAAGUCCAACACUAUCCAAAAUUUCUAAUAGUAAAUGCAGCAGAUAUAUGAGAUGAAGGUUGUU